rnacentral:rRNA from 1 species
AUACGGAGGGUGCAAGCGUUAAUCGGAAUUACUGGGCGUAAAGCGCACGCAGGCGGUUUGUUAAGUCAGAUGUGAAAUCCCCGGGCUCAACCUGGGAACUGCAUCUGAUACUGGCAAGCUUGAGUCUCGUAGAGGGGGGUAGAAUUCCAGGUGUAGCGGUGAAAUGCGUAGAGAUCUGGAGGAAUACCGGUGGCGAAGGCGGCCCCCGGGGCGAAGAAUGACGCUCAGGUGCGAAAGCGGGGGGAGAAAACAGGAUUAGAUACCCGGGUAGUCCACGCCGUAAACGAUGUCGACUUGGAGGUUGUGCCCUUGAGGCGUGGCUUCCGGAGCUAACGCGUUAAGUCGACCGCCUGGGGAGUACGGCCGCAAGGUUAAAACUCAAAUGAAUUGACGGGG